CGAUCUGGCUCAGGAUGAACGCUAGCGGCAGGCUUAACACAUGCAAGUCGAGGGGCAUCGGGAGUAGCAAUACUUGCCGGCGACCGGCGCAAGGGUGCGUAACGCGUGAGCAACAUGCCCGUAUCAGGGGGAUAAUCCAUGGAAACGUGGUCUAAUACCCCAUAGUAAUUAUGUAAGGCAUCUUAUAUAAUUUAAAGCUUUGGUGGAUACGGAUUGGCUCGCGUGACAUUAGCUAGAUGGUAAGGUAACGGCUUACCAUGGCUACGAUGUCUAGGGGUUCUGAGAGGAAGGUCCCCCACACUGGAACUGAGACACGGUCCAGACUCCUACGGGAGGCAGCAGUGAGGAAUAUUGGACAAUGGAUGGAAAUCUGAUCCAGCCAUGCCGCGUGCAGGAAGACGGCCCUAUGGGUUGUAAACUGCUUUUGUAUGGGAGCAAUAAGGGCUACGCGUAGUCCGAUGAGAGUACCAUACGAAUAAGCACCGGCUAACUCCGUGCCAGCCGCCGC
rnacentral:rRNA from 1 species